AUAUGGCCUACAGUGACCUAUGCUCGGUAGAAGCUGUUGUCCUUAUUAACAGCCUAUCAUUUGGUCGUGAACAGUUUUAAGGACUAAUCGAUAAAUCCUCUCUUUAUCGAAUCUAAAUAGUCCUAAGGACUUCAUCAUAACAACGGAGUUCAUUAGAAGAUGAAAGCUUAUGAUGAAAAUGCCAAAUAUAUUUUAUUUAUUAACAAAUCAAUUACAAUACUUGGUUGCUCAACCGUUAACAGCUUGACGAUU
rnacentral:lncRNA from 1 species